UCCGUAGGUGAACCUGCGGAAGGAUCAUUAUUGAAUAAACUUGGUGGGCUGUCGCUGGCUUUGAGAAGCAUUGUGCACGCCUGCCGACUUUAUCCCAUCCACCUGUGCACCUUUUUGUAGUUUUGGGAGGUUGAAAGCAACAAGGGGAUGGCUCUGCGCAAAGCUUGGCUUUCCUGGGUUGCAUUCUCACUUCUCUGACUGUGUGUUUUUGCAUACACUAUGUAGCAUGUUGCAGAAUGUAUCACAAGGGCUUUCACGCCUAUAAAUGACAAUACAACUUUCAGCAACGGAUCUCUUGGCUCUCGCAUCGAUGAAGAACGCAGCGAAAUGCGAUAAGUAAUGUGAAUUGCAGAAUUCAGUGAAUCAUCGAAUCUUUGAACGCACCUUGCGCUCCUUGGUAUUCCGAGGAGCAUGCCUGUUUGAGUGUCAUUUAAUUCUCAACCACACUUGGCUUUGUUAGGCUGGGCUCGUGGCUUGGAUAUUGGGGGUACUUUUGCAGGCAUCACUUCUGAUGCCAGCUCCCCUAAAAUGCAUUAGCGGAACUACUUGCGGUCAGUCACCGGUGUGAUAAUAACAUCUACGCCCAAGACAAUGGCUGCUGGUUCAGCUCAUAAACUUGUUCCUAUGGACAAAUUUUGAACGAUUGACCUCAAAUCAGGUAGGAUUACCCGCUGAACUUAAGCAUAUCAAUAAGCGGAGGA
rnacentral:rRNA from 1 species